rnacentral:rRNA from 1 species
AGUAAAAGUCGUAACAAGGUCUCCGUAGGUGAACCUGCGGAGGGAUCAUUACACAAUAAACAUAUGAAGGCUGCACCGCCAACAGGCGGCAAGGCUGGAGUAUUUUAUUACCCUUGUCUUUUGCGCACUUGUUGUUUCCUGGGCGGGUUCGCCCGCCUCCAGGACCACAUGAUAAACCUUUUUUAUGCAGUUGCAAUCAGCGUCAGUACAACAAAUGUAAAUCAUUUACAACUUUCAACAACGGAUCUCUUGGUUCUGGCAUCGAUGAAGAACGCAGCGAAAUGCGAUACGUAGUGUGAAUUGCAGAAUUCAGUGAAUCAUCGAAUCUUUGAACGCACAUUGCGCCCUUUGGUAUUCCAAAGGGCAUGCCUGUUCGAGCGUCAUUUGUACCCUCAAGCUUUGCUUGGUGUUGGGCGUUUUUUGUCUUUGGUUUUGUCCAAAGACUCGCCUUAAAACGAUUGGCAGCCGGCCUACUGGUUUCGCAGCGCAGCACAUUUUUGCGCUUGCAAUCAGCAAAAGAGGACGGCACUCCAUCAAGACUCUAUAUCACUUUUGACCUCGGAUCAGGUAGGGAUACCCGCUGAACUUAAGCAUAUCAAUAAGCGGAGGAAAAGAAACCAACAGGGAUUGCCCCAGUAACG